GACGAACGCUGGCGGCGUGCUUAACACAUGCAAGUCGAACGGAAAGGCCCUGCUUUUGUGGGGUGCUCGAGUGGCGAACGGGUGAGUAACACGUGAGUAACCUGCCCUUGACUUUGGGAUAACUUCAGGAAACUGGGGCUAAUACCGGAUAGGAGCUCCUGCUGCAUGGUGGGGGUUGGAAAGUUUCGGCGGUUGGGGAUGGACUCGCGGCUUAUCAGCUUGUUGGUGGGGUAGUGGCUUACCAAGGCUUUGACGGGUAGCCGGCCUGAGAGGGUGACCGGCCACAAUGGGACUGAGAUACGGCCCAGUCUCCUACGGGAGGCAGCAGUGGGGAAUAUUGCACAAUGGGCCGAAGCCUGAUGCAGCAACGCCGCGUGCGUGAUGACGGCCUUCGGGUUGUAAACCGCUUUCGCCUGUGACGAAGCGUGAGUGACGGUAAUGGGUAAAGAAGCACCGGCUAACUACGUG
rnacentral:rRNA from 1 species